AUUGAACGCUGGCGGCAUGCCUUACACAUGCAAGUCGAACGGCAGCACGGGAGCAAUCCUGGUGGCGAGUGGCGAACGGGUGAGUAAUAUAUCGGAACGUGCCCAGUCGUGGGGAUAACGUAGCGAAAGCUACGCUAAUACCGCAUACGAUCUAUGGAUGAAAGCGGGGGAUCGCAAGACCUCGCGCGAUUGGAGCGGCCGAUAUCAGAUUAGGUAGUUGGUGAGGUAAAGGCUCACCAAGCCGACGAUCUGUAGCUGGUCUGAGAGGACGACCAGCCACACUGGGACUGAGACACGGCCCAGACUCCUACGGGAGGCAGCAGUGGGGAAUUUUGGACAAUGGGCGCAAGCCUGAUCCAGCAAUGCCCGCGUGCAGGAUGAAGGCC
rnacentral:rRNA from 1 species